UGGGGAAUAUUGGACAAUGGGCGCAAGCCUGAUCCAGCCAUGCCGCGUGUGUGAAGAAGGCCCUAGGGUUGUAAAGCACUUUCAGUAGGGAGGAAAAGCUUAAAGUUAAUACCUUUAAGCCCUGACGUUACCUACAGAAGAAGCACCGGCUAACUCCGUGCCAGCAGCCGCGGUAAUACGGAGGGUGCAAGCGUUAAUCGGAAUUACUGGGCGUAAAGCGCGCGUAGGCUGUCAGAUAAGCGGGAUGUGAAAGCCCUGGGCUCAACCUAGGAACUGCACCCCGAACUAUCUGACUAGAGUGCAGUAGAGGGUGGUGGAAUUUCCAGUGUAGCGGUGAAAUGCGUAGAGAU
rnacentral:rRNA from 1 species